rnacentral:lncRNA from 1 species
CUCAUUCUGUGAGUUGUUACUGUUUUAAAAUGCUACAACACUUACAGUAGAUAAUUUGCAUUUAGGGUAGGUAAUUUGUUGCAAAGUAGGAGACUAAUAUAUCAAAUAUAUAUAUAUAUAUAUAUAUAUAUAUAUAUAUAUAUAUAUAUAUAUAUAUAUAUAUAAACAGUUCCACUCCUGGCUGUAUCCUUCAGAGAGACUUGCAAAAAUCCUAAAGUAGUUACAUGUAAGGAUGUUUAUGUAUAGUUUGCAUAACAAGAAGCUAGAGGCAACUUAGAUAUCCAUCACUAAGGGAACUAAUAAGUAAAGUGUUAUAUAUGCACAUCAUGAGCUAUUAUUUUAAAACAUCAGAUGAAAGCUGUUAGGAACUUAGUGACAUGAAACUCCAGGUGAAGAAAACAGCAAAAAUUAGCCAAGGUUUUGUGUGUGUGUGCGUGUGUGUGUGUGUGUGUGUGUUCGGGGGGGUGCUGGGGAUGAACCCAGUGUCUCACACAUGAUAGGCAAGUGUUCUACCAAAGAUCCACACCCCCAGCCCAGCCUCAAAAUUUUUGUUUUUAAAGGAGAAUCUGCACCUUAACUCAUUAGAAUAGGGUCUGUGGGAAGGAUCGGAAUGGGACUAGAAGGGGUAAAGUAAAGGGAAGCAAGGAGACCUGCUUGUAAAGUGGCAGUGUGCCAGAACUCAGACCUUUGGGCAGCUUGGUUCUGGGCACCUGAGGGUGCAAGUGCAGCUCCAGAAGCCAGGCAAUGGAAUUGACACGAGUUCUCUCUAUUACUUAGGGUAGGUAGGCUAAACUGCUAGGUAGACUCUCAAGAGAAUUUUCUUCCUACUGCUUACUCGUAUAACAUCCAGCUAGGUUAGGUUGAAGAAGUGGGACUGAGAUUCUGUCCAUAGUCAUAUAGGGACCAAGCUGGUGCCAGCUUCAACAUGGCUUCCAAGAUUGUUUUGGGCAUUAACAUUUCAGUAAGCUGAGUGGAGCUUGGAGGAUUGCUUAGGAGAUGUCAUGGGCCCCCUCUAGAUGUGGUACACACUUCCACUCAUAUUCCAGAGACUGCAACUUAGUCACUUAGGUCCCUUUUAACACAAGCCUGAUAAAUAUAUUUUGUGUCCAAGAAGAAGGGAAAAAAUGGAUGCUGUUGGAGAGCUAUUGUCUCUGCCAUUUAUAUAUUUCUCAAUAUUCCCCGCUCCCCGUCCUCCCCGCCCCCCAGCACCAUUUGAGACAUAUAUGGCUUUUGAAAUAAAUGUUGAGAUCUGAAGAUCCCAAACGGAUUCAUUUCUUUAACUGGAGAAAUCAGCUGAGGUCUCUACCAAGUUGGGGAUAUCUUUUCCCUUCCUCUGGCCUGUGGUUGUCAGAUGAGCUUAGGCAAGGAGAUAAAAUGUAAAUUGCAGUUGUGUCUAGAACUAAUGUCUUUGAGACAGAAGUCAAUACUUUAACAGCACAGAAAAUAGACUAAGAUUCCACAGUUGGAAUGUGGCAGAGUUGGGACUAGAAUCUGGUGUUCUUUCUCCUAAGCUGUACUGCUUAUUUGAUCCUUUGACUCCUUGCUAGAAACUUUUUUUUUUUUGAAGACCCAACCUUAGAUCAUUUUAUGGGGAAACUGGUGAAAUCUGAAUUAUAUCUAUAGUUUAGUUCAUGUAAAUACAGCAGUGUAAAUCUCUUAGUUUUGACCAAUGGUACCAUAAGAUAUUAACAUUUGAGGAAUCAUGUAAAGAGUAUACAAGACUCUGUACUGUCUUCACAAAUUUCUGUAAAUAUAAAAUUACUCCAAAAUAAA